UCCGGAGCUAACGCGUUAAAUCGACGCUGGGGAGUACGGCCGCAAGGUUAAAACUCAAAUGAAUUGACGGGGGCCCGCACAAGCGGUGGAGCAUGUGGUUUAAUUCGAUGCAACGCGAAGAACCUUACCUGGUCUUGACAUCCAUAGAAUCUUUCAGAGAUGAGAGAGUGCCUUCGGGAGCUAUGAGACAGGUGCUGCAUGGCUGUCGUCAGCUCGUGUUGUGAAAUGUUGGGUUAAGUCCCGCAACGAGCGCAACCCCUAUCCUUUGUUGCCAGCACGUAAUGGUGGGAACUCAAAGGAGACUGCCGUUGAUAAAGCGGAGGAAGGUGGGGACGACGUCAAGUCAUCAUGGCCCUUACGACCAGGGCUACACACGUGCUACAAUGGCGUAUACAAAGGGAUGCGAAGGUGCGAACUGGAGCGGACCUCACAAAGUACGUCUAAGUCCGGAUUGGAGUCUGCAACUCGACUCCAUGAAGUCGGAAUCGCUAGUAAUCGUGAAUCAGAAUGUCACGGUGAAUACGUUCCCGGGCCUUGUACACACCGCCCGUCACACCAUGGGAGUGGGUUGCACCAGAAGUAGAUAGCUUAACCUUCGGGAGGGCGUUUACCACGGUGUGGUUCAUGACUGGGGUGAAGUCGUAACAAGGUAACCA
rnacentral:rRNA from 1 species